GCCUUGCAGGAAAUCAUCCCCUCCCCCAUCCCCCUCAAAAGCUAAAUGGUCGGCCGGCCCCUAAGAAGAAUAGAAUACAAUACCAAACAUAAACUACUUUGUAGCCUGCUCGGAUACGUAUUGCCAUGGUCGUAGGAAGAUCUUGGGGGGGGGGGGGCUCAUAUUCAUAUAUUCAUGUUCGCAGACCGUAAAAACAAUCAAAUUCAAAAGAAGUAAAUGAUGCAGAACACAAAUAUUUGAAUAUGAGCUCCUGCCGCCCCCCCGCCGCCAAUUAUCUACCUUUCUAUGCCCAUGGCCAUGCAG